GUGAGUAUAGCUCAGUGGUAGAAUGUAUGCUUAGCAUGCACAAGGUCCUGGGUUUAAUCCCCAGCACCCCCA
rnacentral:tRNA from 1 species